AGACUGUGAUUUUGAGUUAUUUUAAGAAUAUUUCAAAUAUAUUCAAGCUAAUUUUUUAAUUACUACAAAAUAUCGAGAUUAGCAACCUUGCGUUGCAAGAGAUUGCUCUCUCACUCUCAGCUCUCUCGUUUCUACGGAAAAAAUCCAAUUUUCGCGGAUAUCCUACCGUACGGCCUGUUGAAGCGGACGGUAAAAGCGGUGGUGACUGUUCAUUUACAUUGCGCUCUCAUAAGAGAGCUGAUUCGGUCGACGGUUUUGCGUCGGUGACUGUUUGUGCCAUUAUGUGAAUUUAUUUAGUCAGCGCUCAGGCAGCGUGUGUAGUCAUAGUCACAUACAUAAAGUUGUAUGUAAUAAAAUUGUGCAUUUAUAUUUUAUGCAGACAAUAAAUUUACUUGCUUGCUAGCACACACUGUUAAGUUUUAUUGUUCACGAUGCGCACCGGGAUAUGUCCAACAACGUCAAGUGCAGAACGCGUUUUUGCCAGCUGUUGUUUGUUGCUGCUUCUGCUACGUCAUCUAUCAUCCGAAACGAAAUCGCAAAAAAACUCGUAAAAUAGAAUAAAAUAAAUUUUGUAUGAACUCAGUGUUAAUUAUAAGAGUAGUAUAGACCCACCCUUACCAUUAGUUUCAGUUUCUGCUGAAAAGUUUAUUACGAAUUAAUUAUGAUAAAUUUUCUGUAAUCUAAAUUUUCUAAUCUUUACAGGGCUUUGGUGUGAAUAAUAUAUGAGGUUAAAUAAUCGGGAAAAUUGCUAUUAAACAACAAAUGUGUAUUCUUGUGACAAAGUAUCUUCACUCGAGCGUAGCCCCUUUGGUGUAUAUAAAACACUUCGUAUUUUGAAGAGCCAAGCGUUAAAAGGGAGUGUCAAGUUCGGGUAGAAUCAUACAUAAUAAAUUGGUGUUUGUAGUGGCCAUAGAUUUAUCCAUGGUAGUGGCAUCGCGGACUCGAUAGACAUGUGUCGAUUGGCCUAGAAAAUAUGUACUGUAAGACUGGGUUCACAUGAGGACACCUUUGUCGUCCAAAUUGAUUUUUGUAAACGAGAGGAUGCUCCUUUUGACAUUAUUUUCAUGAUUGAAAUAGCGCUCAGUUUUAAAUAAAUAUUUAUAUUUUGUUUGAAAA